rnacentral:misc_RNA from 1 species
UUUCCGUAGGUGAACCUGCGGAGGGAUCAUUAUUGUAUAACAGAGACUCGAGAACUGUCGCUAACACACCUGGUCGUGCACCCGCGAGUGCCCUCACACACCCCCCUCUCCCCCCUCUGUGCACCACCGCGUGGGUCCCACCUUGGCUUGUUCGGAUGGGGGCUCAUGUUUUCACAAAAACUUACUAUGAAGUGUAGAAUGUCUUUUUUGUUUUUGCGAUCACGCACUCAAUACAACUUUCCACAACGGAUCUAUUGCCUCUCGCAUCGAUCAAGACAC